GACGAACGCUGGCGGCGUGCCUAAUACAUGCAAGUUGAGCGCUGAAGGUUGGUACUUGUACCAACUGGAUGAGCAGCGAACGGGUGAGUAACGCGUGGGGAAUCUGCCUUUGAGCGGGGGACAACAUUUGGAAACGAAUGCUAAUACCGCAUAAAAACUUUAAACACAAGUUUUAAGUUUGAAAGAUGCAAUUGCAUCACUCAAAGAUGAUCCCGCGUUGUAUUAGCUAGUUGGUGAGGUAAAGGCUCACCAAGGCGAUGAUACAUAGCCGACCUGAGAGGGUGAUCGGCCACAUUGGGACUGAGACACGGCCCAAACGCCUACGGGAGGCAGCAGUAGGGAAUCUUCGGCAAUGGACGAAAGUCUGACCGAGCAACGCCGCGUGAGUGAAGAAGGUUGUCGGAUCGGAAAACUCGGUUGGUAGAGAAGAACGUUGGUGAGAGUGGAAAGCUCAUCAAGUGACGGUAACUACCCAGAAAGGGACGGCUAACUACGUG
rnacentral:rRNA from 1 species